UACAUGGGGUGCAAACGUUGCUCGGAAUUAUUGGGCGUAAAGCGCGCGUAGGCGGUUACUUAAGUCGGAUGUGAAAGCCCUCGGCUUAGCUGAGGAAGUGCACCCGAAACUGAGUAGCUAGAGUACGAAAGAGGGUCGCGGAAUUCCCGGUGUAGAGGUGAAAUUCGUAGAUAUCGGGAGGAACACCGGUGGCGAAGGCGGCGACCUGGGUCGAGACUGACGCUGAGGCGCGAAAGCGUGGGGAGCAAACAGG
rnacentral:rRNA from 1 species